rnacentral:rRNA from 1 species
GAUGAACGCUAGCGGCAGGCUUAAUACAUGCAAGUCGUGGGGCAGCAGGUUUGUAGCAAUACAGAUGCUGGCGACCGGCAAACGGGUGCGGAACACGUACAGAACCUUCCUUUGAGCGGGGAAUAGCCCAGAGAAAUUUGGAUUAAUACCCCAUAGUAUAAUGAAGUGGCAUCACUUUAUUAUUAAAGAUUUAUCACUCGAAGAUGGCUGUGCGGCUGAUUAGGUAGUUGGCGGGGUAAAGGCCCACCAAGCCUGCGAUCAGUAACUGGUGUGAGAGCACGACCAGUCACACGGGCACUGAGACACGGGCCCGACUCCUACGGGAGGCAGCAGUAGGGAAUAUUGGACAAGUGGGGGGAACCCUGAUCCAGCCAUGCCGCGUGAGGGAAGAAGGUCCUCUGGAUUGUAAACCUCUUUUGGCAGGAAACAAACCUGCGCUAUACGCGCAGCUGAGGGUACCUGCAGAAUAAGCACCGGCUAACUCCGUG